rnacentral:lncRNA from 1 species
CUCAAUUAAAUUUGAUGUGCCAGAGAUAGUUCCUACAUUUCCCUUAGCUUUGAUUAGUUGUGAAAAAUAUUUCUUACUUUGAAGGAUUGUAUGAGUUGUUGCACUGUCUGCUAAACAUAUAUCCUCCAUAUCCAUUAAAGAUGGUCUGACACAUAUAAAAACAUAAAUAAGAAAAGUUACAUUUCAAAUAUAAUUUUAUUCAUGAGAAACACAUAUCACAUAUAGAAUGAAAACUAAUAAUAUUAUACAUGCAGGAUGUUUAAUUAAAAUAAGAAAUUAAAC